rnacentral:snoRNA from 1 species
GAAUUAACAAUGAUUAUAAAAAUAAUUUCUCGUUUUGACUUAUUCAAUUCAAUUUGGACAUGACAGAUUUUUUAUUACAUCCAUAGAAUCUGAGUUAC